rnacentral:rRNA from 1 species
GACGAACGCUGGCGGCGUGCUUAACACAUGCAAGUCGAACGAAGUGGCGAACGGGUGAGUAAUACGUGAGUAACCUGCCCUCCUUUUUGGGAUAAGCCUUGGAAACGGGGUCUAAUACCGAAUAAAGGGGGAUGGGCUCGCGGCCUAUCAGCUUGUUGGUGGGGUGAUGGCCUACCAAGGCGGUGACGGGUAGCCGGCCUGAGAGGGUGACCGGCCACAGUGGGACUGAGAUACGGCCCAGACUCCUACGGGAGGCAGCAGUGGGGGAUAUUGCACAAUGGGCGAAAGCCUGAUGCAGCGACGCCGCCGUCCGCCGCCGCGGUAAUAC